GAUAAACGCUGGCGGCGUGCCUAAUACAUGCAAGUCGAGCGAACAGACGAGGAGCUUGCUCCUCUGACGUUAGCGGCGGACGGGUGAGUAACACGUGGAUAACCUACCUAUAAGACUGGGAUAACUUCGGGAAACCGGAGCUAAUACCGGAUAAUAUAUUGAACCGCAUGGUUCAAUAGUGAAAGACGGUUUUGCUGUCACUUAUAGAUGGAUCCGCGCCGCAUUAGCUAGUUGGUAAGGUAACGGCUUACCAAGGCAACGAUGCGUAGCCGACCUGAGAGGGUGAUCGGCCACACUGGAACUGAGACACGGUCCAGACUCCUACGGGAGGCAGCAGUAGGGAAUCUUCCGCAAUGGGCGAAGGCCUGACGGAGCAACGCCGCGUGAGUGAUGAAGGUCUUCGGAUCGUAAAACUCUGUUAUUAGGGAAGAACAAAUGUGUAAGUAACUAUGCACGUCUUGACGGUACCUAAUCAGAAAGCCACGGCUAACUACGUG
rnacentral:rRNA from 1 species